rnacentral:rRNA from 3 species
GGCAAGCUACUAAGGGCGCACGGUGGAUGCCUAGGAGCAAGGAGCCGAUGAAGGGCGUGGUAAGCUGCGAUAAGCUGCGGGGAGCCGCAAACAGGCGUUGAUCCGCAGAUUCCCGAAUGGGGAAACCCGACCACCGUAAGGGUGGUCACCCACCGCUGAAUCCAUAGGCGGUGUGGAGGGAACCUGGGGAACUGAAACAUCUCAGUACCCAGAGGAAAAGAAAUCGAACGAGAUUCCCUCAGUAGCGGCGAGCGAACGGGGAAGAGCCUAAACCAAUCGGGCGUGCCCGAUUGGGGUCGUGGGACUGACAUAAGGGAGCCGCGCGUGUAGCAGAAUCGCCUGGAACGGCGAGCCAUAGAGGGUGACAGCCCCGUAUGCGAAACACGCAACGCCCCGUCAGUAUCCCGAGUAGCACGGGAUAAGAGGAGCCCUGUGCGAAUCUGCCCGGACCACCGGGUAAGGCUAAAUACUCCUUGCUACCGAUAGUGCAACCAGUACCGUGAGGGAAAGGUGAAAAGCACCCCGGCGAGGGGAGUGAAAAGAACCUGAAACCGUGCGCUUACAAACAGUCGGAGGACUAUACCCCUCUGGGGGACAGUCUGACGGCGUGCCUUUUGCAGAAUGAGCCGGCGAGUUGUGCUCAGCGGCGAGGUUAAGCGUCUCAGACGCGGAGCCGUAGCGAAAGCGAGUCCUCACAGGGCGACCCAGUCGCUGGGCGCAGACCCGAAACCGCGUGAUCUAACCCUGGUCAGGCUGAAGCCGUGGUAACACACGGUGGAGGGCCGAACUGGUGACCGUUGAAAAGGUCUCGGAGGAACUGGGGUUAGUGUGGUGAAAUGCCAAUCGAACGCGGAGAUAGCUGGUUCUCCCCGAAAUGCAUUGAGGUGCAGCCUCACGCGCUAUGCUAUGCAGGUAGAGCCACUGGAUGGGCUAGGGGCCCCACCAGGUUACUGAACCCAACCAAACUCCGAAUGGCAUAGCAGGAAGCGUGGGAGUGAGACAGCGACGGAUGAGCGCCGUUGUCAAAAGGGCAACAGCCCAGACCGCCCGCUAAGGUCCCUAAACACAGGCUAAGUGUGAAAGGAUGUAGGGUCGCGUAAACAACCAGGAGGUUGGCUUAGAAGCAGCCAUCCUUUAAACAGUGCGUAACAGCUGACUGGUCGAAUGUGACCCUGCGCCGACAAUGUAAGGGGGCUCAAGCCUGUUACCGAAGCGGCGGGUUCCCGUUAGGGAGCGGUAGGGGAGCGUUCUGCACGCAGUGAAGGUGGAGCGAAAGCACCGCUGGAGCGUGCAGAAGUGAGAAUGCCGGCACGAGUAGCGAGAAGACAGGUGAGAAUCCUGUCCGCCGAAAGCCUAAGGGUUCUUCAGGCAGGUUCGUCCGCUGAAGGUCAGGCGGUCCUAAGCCGAGGGCGAAAAGCCGUAGGCGAAGGGCAGUGGGUCAACAUUCCCACCCCAGGUGGCGGAGCAAAGCGGUGACGCUUCAGAAUCGGUUGGGCGCGGAGUUGGAAGGCCGCGUUCGCCCCGGCGGCAACUCCGGGGCGACGAAGGGAUCCCUCGGGUGAACGAAGCAACCGUGACUGGAGCCGAGAAAACCCGCGUAGCGUUGAAACCACCUGACCGUACCGCAAACCGACACAGGUAGGCGAGGCGAGGAGCCUCAGGCGCGCGAGAGAAGUCCCGCUAAGGAACUCGGCAAAUUGACCCCGUAACUUCGGGAGAAGGGGUGCCUCGAAAGAGGUCGCAGCAAAGAGGGCCCGGCGACUGUUUACCAAAAACACAGCUCUCUGCGAAGGGGAAACCCGAUGUAUAGGGGGCGACGCUUGGCCAAUGCCCGUAGGUUAAGGGGAGGGGUCAGCCGCAAGGUGCAGCCCCAAACUGAAGCCCGGGUGAAUGCCGGCCGUAACUCUAACGGUCCUAUGGUAGCGAAAUUCCUUGUCGCGUAAAUUGCGACCCGCACGAAAAGCGUAACGACUGGGCCACUGUCUCAGCGGGACACUCGGUGAAACUGUAGCACCCGUGAAGAUGCGGGUUACCUGCGGUAGGACGGAAAGACCCUAUGGAGCUUUACUACAGCCUGGGAUUGCAUUUCGGUAUGUCAUGUAGAGCGUAGGUGGGAGCUUCGGCGCCAAUGGAACACCACCCUUGACCUACUGAAAUGCUAACCUGCGCCGUAAUCCGGCGUGGAGACAGUCUUAGGUGGGUAGUUUGACUGGGGCGGUCGCCUCCUAAACGGUAACGGAGGCGUCCAAAGGUCCGCUCAGCGCGGUCGGAAAUCGCGCGUCGAGUGCAAGGGCAUAAGCGGGCUUGACUGUGAGACCCACGGGUCGAGCAGAUGCGAAAGCAGGGCCUAGUGACCCUCUGGUUGUGCGUGGGCACGCCAGGGUUCAACGGAUAAAAGCUACCCUAGGGAUAACAGGCUGAUCCUGCCCGAGCGUCCACAGCGACGGCGGGGUUUGGCACCUCGAUGUCGGCUCGUCGCAUCCUGGGGCUGAAUAGGGUCCCAAGGGUUGGGGGGUUCACCCAUUAAAGCGGCACGCGAGCUGGGUUCAGAACGUUAGCCCAAAAGGGCUUGGCGUCCCGCAGAAGCAAUUCUGCGGUGCCUACCGGCUCAUAUCGGUAGACCCCUCCUGCAGUUCGACCGAACGCUGCAGAGGGCAAUACCGAGGGAAGAAUGGGAGCUGAAGAUGAAGGACACCUUGAUGAGUACAAGGUUAUGCCAGUAAUGCGCUGCAAGCUUCCAUUCCCCGUAACGACUGAAGGCGAUAUGCCUGAGAUGGGGCGUCCUGCGCGAAAGGCGCAAAUCUAUGACACCCAUCAUACGCCGGCUCCUUCCAGUCCUUCAGGAAGGAUGGAGGUAUAGUCUACACCCUUGGAAACAAGGGAGGUAUGUGCGUGAGACAGUUCGGUCCCUAUCCACCGCAGGCGUAGGAGACUUGAGGGGAGCUGGCCCUAGUACGAGAGGACCGGGCUGGACUGACCUCUGGUGUACCAGUUGUUCCGCCAGGAGCAGACGCUGGGUAGCCAUGUCGGGAAGGGAUAAGCGCUGAAAGCAUCUAAGCGCCAAGCCCACCCCAAGAUAAGGUCUCCCAUCCGGACAACGGAGUAAGGUCCCCGGUAGAUGACCGGGUUGAUAGGCGGCGCGUGUAAGCGCAGUAAUGCGUUGAGCUGAGCCGUACUAAUUGACCGAGGGCUUGCCUAAAA